GAUGAAGAACGCAGCGAAACGCGAUAAGUAAUGUGAAUUGCAGAAUUCAGUGAAUCAUCGAAUCUUUGAACGCACAUUGCGCCCGCCAGUAUUCUGGCGGGCAUGCCUGUUCGAGCGUCAUUUCAACCAUCAAGCCCCCGGCUUGUGUUGGGGACCUGCGGCUGCCGCAGGCCCUGAAAAGCAGUGGCGGGCUCGCUGUCACACCGAGCGUAGUAGCAUACAUCUCGCUCUGGGCGUGCUGCGGGUUCCGGCCGUUAAACCACCUUCAUAACCCAAGGUUGACCUCGGAUCAGGUAGGAAGACCCGCUGAACUUAAGCAUAUCAAUAAGCGGAGGA
rnacentral:misc_RNA from 1 species